rnacentral:rRNA from 1 species
CCGAUAGCGCACAAGUAGAGUGAUCGAAAGAUGAAAAGCACUUUGGAAAGAGAGUUAAACAGUACGUGAAAUUGUUGAAAGGGAAGCGCUUGCAACCAGACUUGCGCGCUGUUGAUCAUCCGGGCUUUUGCCCGGUGCACUCGGCAGCGCUCAGGCCAGCAUCGGUUUUGGUGGGCGGAUAAAGGCCUUGGGAAUGUAGCUCUCUUCGGGGAGUGUUAUAGCCCUCGGUGCAAUGCGCCCUACCGGGACCGAGGACCGCGCUUCGGCUAGGAUGCUGGCGUAAUGGUUGUAAGCGACCCGUCUUGAAACACGGACCAAGGAGUCUAACAUCUAUGCGAGUGUUUGGGUGUCAAACCCAUACGCGUAAUGAAAGUGAACGGAGGUGAGAACCCUUAAGGGUGCAUCAUCGACCGAUCCUGAUGUCUUCGGAUGGAUUUGAGUAAGAGCAUAGCUGUUGGGACCCGAAA